rnacentral:lncRNA from 1 species
GGUCCCCUUCUUCCUUUCUUUCUUUCUUCCUUCGGGUUAACCUUCUUCUUUCCACCCCCUGCCUUUCCAGGGCGAACAGAGGGAGAAGACGGAGGGCGCGGAGCUCCGCGGUGGCGACUCAACUCCAGAGUUCCAUGGCGGCCGAGGCUGCCCACCUCCUCGGUCGCGGCCGGGGUCCGAGGGGCGGUCGUGGGGCCCAGAGGAGGCCGCGGAAGGAGCUAGCGAAGCAACAGCCGCACAAUCCGGACUCCGGACGGCGGAGGCGUUCCUCGGAGCCUGCAGCAACUUUCCACGCGCUGCGGUGCCCCACAGACUAACUGCCCCAGCGUGGGGACCGCGUGCCCCCCCCACCCCCCGGUCCUUCUGACCAGCUCCCUCACUUUCGCCCUCCCUCUCUCCAGACUCCUCUUUCCCUUGGUGUUCUCAGCGAAAAAAAAA